rnacentral:rRNA from 1 species
AGUGAACGCUGGCGGUAGGCCUAACACAUGCAAGUCGAACGGCAGCACAGUAAGCGCUUGCUCUUACGGGUGGCGAGUGGCGGACGGGUGAGGAAUACAUCGGCAUCUACUUUUUCGUGGAGGAUAACGUAGGGACACUUACGCUACUACCGCAUACGACCUACGGGUGAAAUCAGGGGAUCUUCGCACCUUGCGCGAUUGAAUGAGCUGAUGUCGGAUUAGCUAGUUGGCGGGGUAAAGGCCCACCAAGGCGACGAUCCGUAGCUGAUCUGAGAGGAUGAUCAGCCACACUGGAACUGAGACACGGUCCAGACUCCUACGGGAGGCAGCAGUGGGGAAUAUUGGACAAUGGGCGCAAGCCUGAUCCAGCCAUGCCGCGUGGGUGAAGAAGGCCUUCGGGUUGUAAAGCCCUUUUGUUGGGAAAGAAAAGCAGCAGGUUAAUACCCCGCUGUUCUGACGGUACCCAAAGAAUAAGCACCGGCUAACUUCGUG